rnacentral:rRNA from 1 species
CCUACGGGAGGCAGCAGUGAGGAAUAUUGGUCAAUGGACGAGAGUCUGAACCAGCCAAGUCGCGUGAGGGAAGACGGCCCUACGGGUUGUAAACCUCUUUUGUCGGGGAGCAAAGCGAGUCACGUGUGACUCAUUGAGAGUACCCGAAGAAAAAGCAUCGGCUAACUCCGUGCCAGCAGCCGCGGUAAUACGGAGGAUGCGAGCGUUAUCCGGAUUUAUUGGGUUUAAAGGGUGCGUAGGCGGGAUGCCAAGUCAGCGGUAAAAAUGCGGUGCUCAACGCCGUCGAGCCGUUGAGACUGGCGUUCUUGAGUGGGCGAGAAGUAUGCGGAAUGCGUGGUGUAGCGGUGAAAUGCAUAGAUAUCACGCAGAACUCCGAUUGCGAAGGCAGCAUACCGGCGCCCUACUGACGCUGAGGCACGAAAGCGUGGGUAUCGAACAGGAUUAGAUACCCUAGUAGUC